AUUAAGUUCAUUUUUCAGUUUUAAUGUUUUGACUUUUCGUCCCAUUUGAAAUAUUUUUGCGAUUAAUAUUUUUAUUAUUAUUAGAUGGUAAAAUAUGAAUAGUGCUUUAUACGUGAUUAAUUUUUUAAAGUUUUUAAUAAAUUUUUCAAAUAAGACGAAUGAUCAAAGCGUUAGACAUAUAAAUC
rnacentral:pre_miRNA from 1 species